GGGACGGAAGGCAAGAGGCAUGUAACACAGGCAUGAGGAGAGAUGCUGCCAAUUGUGCCUGCAGAGUCAGGAGCCACCUCGCUGCUUGCUGCAGCAUUGAGGCCAGGAGGACCAGAAGUGCUGUAUAACACAAAAUUCCUCAAGAGACCAACAGGCCAGAAUGGGUCCUUCCAGUGGUCCUGAUUUAGAAAGCAUGGGCACAGAAACAAAUCCCAAAGCCAACCUGAAUCACCACCUAAAGAAAUGCACGAGAAUGGAUUCAAAACCACCGGCCCUGAAAAAUCCAUCCGUACCUGGUCUUCCAAGAUUUCCUGGACUCCAGCUGUCCCACUGGACUUGUCAUCUCCAGCCCAGAGCUGGAACUUGUAUGGCUCACAGUAACCAGCUGGGCUAAAAGUCAAAGGAUGACUAAUUUUAAUGCAUUUGCAACUGGCUUGCCAAUCUACAAUCUUCAAAAAAGAAAAAUU
rnacentral:lncRNA from 1 species